GAUGAACGCUGGCGGCGUGCCUAAUACAUGCAAGUCGAGCGAACAGACGAGGAGCUUGCUCCUCUCACGUUUGCCGCGGACGGGUGAGUAACACGUGUAUACUCUACCUAUAAUACUGGUAUAACUUCGGGACACCGGCUCUAAUAGCGUAUAAUAUAUUGCACCGUAUGGUUCAAUAGUGAAAGUCGGCUUUGCUGUAUCGUCUAGAUGCAUCCGCGCCGCAUUAGCUAGUAGGUAGGGUAACGGCUUACCAAGGCAACUAUGCGUAGCCGAACUGACGGAGUGAUCGGCCGCACGGGAGCUGGGACAGGGUCAAGAGGACUAAGGGAGGCAGCAGUAGGGAAUGGGCGGCAAUAGGGGAGAGCCUGGCGGAGCGGGGCCGCGUGAGUGAUGAAGGUGUUCGGAUCGUGAAACUCUGUUAUUAGGGAAGAACAAAUGUGUAAGUUGAUAUACACGGCUUGACGGUACCGAAUCAGAAAGCCACGGCUAACUACGUG
rnacentral:rRNA from 1 species